AAGAAUCCAUCUCUCUCUUUCUAUCUAUCCCUCCUUCUCUCUAUCUCUCUCUAUAUCUCUCCUCCGUAGAAAUUUGAAAUCUGAAGUUUCAUGAAAAAAAACCAUGGAGUUCUACUAAAUCAACAAGCAAAUUUCGUUUUUGGUGAAGAUCAAGUUGCUCCUCUUGGUAAGUUUCUAAACUCGUUUUUAUACUAGAUACCUACUAGAAUUUUCUACAUAUAUUUUUGAACUUAGCUCCGAUUUAAGUGAUCCAGGACUUUCUGGAAAGGUAUUUCAUAAAUAUAUAACUCUUAUGAAGUAACCAAAAUCUAGUUUUGUUGGUAUUUACCUGAAAGAGGAUCAGAAAGUACAGGGCAUGUGCUAUCCAGAUUUCCAGUUUUAGAAAUACUCUAUGUACUGCUGUUAGUAAUUUUAGCAUAACUUUUUGUUCAAAAUUGAUAUGGAGGUUAUUAAAGAUUUUCUGAAACGGUAAGACAUAGAUUUACAACUUUUGUAAAGACUAGAAAGUCUAGUUUGUCCGUAUAGAUCUUCAAAACUGAGUCACAACUCGGAACAGUGAUACUGUCCAGAAUUUCUGUUUCAAACAUUCUUGGGUAAUUUUCACCAAUAUCACAUUUAGUUUGACUUGAUAAAUCACUGAACUUAUUUAGACAUUUGAUUAUGUAUUUAAGGUAUAUAAACCCUUGAAAAAAAAUCAAAGGGGAAGUGUUUGAGGAAGUGGACAGAUUUGGUUUGUUUACGGCGUAGACGAUUCGAACGUCCCCAAGUUGUAAUUGAACUGUUUCGUGGUAAAACACCAAGGUUUGUGUAUAAACUUGUACUAUUUUUGCUUGCUGGAAUAUGUUGAAAUAACUUGAUAUUUUAUUUUUCUUGGCUUCAAUUUAUAUUGUUAUAUUCGUACUAUAUCAAGUAUUGUAAGAUAUUUGUUAAAUUGCCCAUUCGUACGGAUUGUUUGAUCAUUUUGCAUUCUUGUUGGGACUUUGUCCUUCUUGUGGCAGUGACUUUGUCACUCAUCUUGGCAUGUCUCUUUAUUCGGAUCUUUUGCCAUCUUGACUUUGGAUUUGUAGUUCGUCUUGAAUUAUGGAACUUGUCUGUGUUAAGUACGAACUAGGAAGCCAUUUUUAAUAUGGUUCUU
rnacentral:lncRNA from 1 species